GAAGCGAAUAUCUAAGGCUACGAUCCACGAAAAGAAACUAGACACAAUAAGAAGUCUGUGGAAGAAAAUUGAAGGUAAUUCAGGUAUCGGAAGAUCAUGAACAGAGGUCCCGAACGUCGACAACGCGGUUUACGGAUUUCAAAGGACAUAAUCGAACUUUCAUUAAGGAUAUAUUCGUGACAACAACUUAAGUUAACCAGGUAAGCGGCCUUACUAUCGGCAUGGUUAAAUUUGAUGUUCACACGUGCCUGUGGUUCUGCACGUGUCAUAUAUAC